rnacentral:rRNA from 1 species
GACGAACGCUGGCGGCGUGCUUAACACAUGCAAGUCGAACGGAAAGGCCCUGCUUUUGUGGGGUGCUCGAGUGGCGAACGGGUUAGUAACACGUGAGUAACCUGCCCUUGACUUUGGGAUAACUUCAGGAAACUGGGGCUAAUACCGGAUAGGAGCUCCUGCUGCAUGGUGGGGGUUGGAAAGUUUCGGCGGUUGGGGAUGGACUCGCGGCUUAUCAGCUUGUUGGUGGGGUAGCGGCUUACCAAGGCUUUGACGGGUAGCCGGCCUGAGAGGGUGACCGGCCACAUGGGGCCUGAGAGACGGCGCAGACUCCUACGGGAGGCAGCAGUGGGGAAUAUUGCACAAUGGGCGGAAGCCUGAGGCAGAAACGCCGCGUGCGGGAUGACGGCCUUCGGGUUGUAAACCGCUUUCGCCUGUGACGAAGCGUGAGUGACGGUAAUGGGUAAAGAAGCACCGGCUAACUACGUG